GUGGGGAAUUUUGGACAAUGGGCGCAAGCCUGAUCCAGCAAUGCCGCGUGCAGGAAGAAGGCCUUCGGGUUGUAAACUGCUUUUGUACGGAACGAAACGGUCCUGGUUAAUACCUGGGGCUAAUGACGGUACCGUAAGAAUAAGCACCGGCUAACUACGUGACAGCAGCCGCGGUAAUACGUAGGUUGCGAGCGUUAAUCGGAAUUACUGGGCGUAAAGCGUGCGCAGGCGGUGCUGUAAGACAGGCGUGAAAUACCCGGGCUCAAACUGGGAAUUGCGCUUAUGACUGCAGUGCUGGAGUACGGCAGAGGGGGAUGGAAUUCCGCGUGUAGCAGUGAAAUGCGUAGAUAUGCGGAGGAACACCGAUGGCGAAGGCAGUCCCCUGGGCCUGUACUGACGCUCAUGCGCGAAAGCGUGGGGAGCAAACAGGAUUAGAAACCCCGGUAGUCC
rnacentral:rRNA from 1 species